GGUGCUUCAGGAGGAAGACAAAGAGAUGCCUGUGAUCUUUCAUCUUGAGGGAGCAGUUAAAGAGGCAGAGUUUCACCCCAAGCAGUGAGAGUGGCACCAUCCAGCUCCCUCUCCGGGAACCGUACUCAGCAUCUCAGCAUCAAGCUGCCAGGGCUCUGAACUGUGCCUAUUUGGAAUCCAUCUGGAGUUGCUUAAUGUGUAU